AGCGAACGCUGGCGGCAGGCCUAACACAUGCAAGUCGAACGAAGUCUUCGGACUUAGUGGCGGACGGGUGAGUAACACGUGGGAACGUGCCUUUAGGUUCGGAAUAACUCAGGGAAACUUGUGCUAAUACCGAAUGUGCCCUUCGGGGGAAAGAUUUAUCGCCUUUAGAGCGGCCCGCGUCUGAUUAGCUAGUUGGUGAGGUAAAGGCUCACCAAGGCGACGAUCAGUAGCUGGUCUGAGAGGAUGAUCAGCCACAUUGGGACUGAGACACGGCCCAAACUCCUACGGGAGGCAGCAGUGGGGAAUCUUGCGCAAUGGGCGAAAGCCUGACGCAGCCAUGCCGCGUGAAUGAUGAAGGCCUUAGGGUUGUAAAGCUCUUUUACCCGGGAUGAUAAUGACAGUACCGGGAGAAUAAGCUCCGGCUAACUUCGUGCCAGCCGCCGCAGUAACAC
rnacentral:rRNA from 1 species